UCAACCAGUUACACAGGCCGAUGCUGCAUGCCAAACAGAACUAGAAUCUCGAGGAAACCUGGUUAUCCUCCUGUCAGCGACAAAUGGGUCUGAGGUAUCAACUCAAGUUUCUCACAUUAACAAUGUGACAAGGUCACUGGGACUGAUGGAAGCUGGAAGAGGAAAUGUGAAUUCUUUGGAUUUGAGACACUUAAGCAAAAUGAGACUGCUUUGCGAGA